UAUUAAAACAAAAAUAACAAAAUAAUGUUUAAUUUCACUGAACGAGGUUAGAUGGUAGGACGAGUUUGGGUCUAUAGUAAUACGAGACGAUAUACCACGGGUGAAAUCCAUUAGACAUGUUUAAUUUCAUGAAUGGGAUUAAAUGGUAUGACGGGUUUGGGUCGAUAGUAAUAUAAGACGGUAUACUACGGGUAAAAUCUUAGAUAUAACAAUUAAGAUACAAUUACAUUAUCUUAAACACAAAACAAAACAAACAAUAUUAAUAAAAAAUAU
rnacentral:sRNA from 1 species